rnacentral:tRNA from 2 species
GCGGCUGUAGUCUAGUGGUAGGACUGAAGCUUCCCAAGCUUCAAACUCGGGUUCGAAUCCCGGCAGCCGCA